GUGCAAGAGAGCAAAAAGUAAAUAAAAACAAUAUUGGGAUGAGGUAGGUAGUUGGAUGGGCUUCUUACAGAUGAGUUGUGUACCGCUGAGGUAGGUAGUUGGAUGGGCUUCUUACAGAUGAGUUGUGUACCGCUGAGGUAGGUAGUUGGAUGGGCUUCUUACAGAUGAGUUGUGUACCGCUGAGGUAGGUAGUUGGAUGGGCUUCUUACAGAUGAGUUGUGUACCGCUGAGGUAGGUAGUUGGAUGGGCUUCUUACAGAUGAGUUGUGUACCGCUGAGGUAGGUAGUUGGAUGGGCUUCUUACAGAUGAGUUGUGUACCGCUGAGGUAGGUAGUUGGAUAGGCUUCUUACAGAUGAGUUGUGUACCGCUGAGGUAGGUAGUUGGAUGGGCUUCUUACAGAUGAGUUGUGUACCGCUGAGGUAGGUAGUUGGAUGGGCUUCUUACAGAUGAGUUGUGUACCGCUGAGGUAGGUAGUUGGAUGGGCUUCUUACAGAUGAGUUGUGUACCGCUGAGGUAGGUAGUUGGAUAGGCUUCUUACAGAUGAGUUGUGUACAGAUGAGGUAGGUAGUUGGAUAGGCUUCUUACAGAUGAGUUGUGUACCGCUGAGGUAGGUAGUUGGAUGGGCUUCUUACAGAUGAGUUGUGUACCGCUGAGGUAGGUAGUUGGAUAGGCUUCUUACAGAUGAGUUGUGUACCGCUGAGGUAGGUAGUUGGAUGGGCUUCUUACAGAUGAGUUGUGUACCGCUGAGGUAGGUAGUUGGAUGGGCUUCUUACAGAUGAGUUUUGUACCGCUGAGGUAGGUAGUUGGAUAGGCUUCUUACAGAUGAGUUGUGUACCGCUGAGGUAGGUAGUUGGAUGGGCUUCUUACAGAUGAGUUGUGUACCGCUGAGGUAGGUAGUUGGAUGGGCUUCUUACAGAUGAGUUGUGUACCGCUGAGGUAGGUAGUUGGAUGGGCUUCUUACAGAUGAGUUGUGUACAGUUGCAGAGAUCAGUUAGCUGCUCAGAUAGCUGAUGCUUAAAGUUAGUAAGGGAGAUAUAAGUCUCCAACUUC